UGAUAUUACAAUUUUUAUAAUUAGCAGAGUGCCUCUUCCAGUAACAUCAAGAUAUAUAAGCAAAGUGAUUUCUUCAAAGCAAAAUGGGGAGAAAAUUUAUAAGCAGUUUUAUUAUUUUAUUCCUAAAGACCUCAAAAAGCCUAAUUAUUAGGGUUAAUUUGUAACAUCAGAAAAUGUUGUCCCAAUCUUCCAGAAUAUUUAUUUUACAAAUGGUCCAAUUUUUCUUCUCUGCAUUUAAGCACUGUGGACGGCAGUGGCAAAAGAACUCUGUGUGUU
rnacentral:lncRNA from 1 species